GACAGAGGUGCCACGCGUUAGGCGGAAUCACUGGGCUUAAAGCGUGUGUAGGCGGAUCGUUAAGUACCUUGUGAAAUCCCACGGCUCAACCGUGGAACUGCUGGGUAUACUGGCGAUCUUGAGCCACCUAGGGGCGAGCGGAACAAACGGUGGAGCGGUGAAAUGCGUAGAUAUCGUUUGGAACGCCAACGGUGAAAACAGCCCGCUGGGGGUGUGCUGACGCUGAGACACGAAAGCCAGGGGAGCGAACGGG
rnacentral:rRNA from 1 species